UAUUAUUUAAAUAAAAGAAAAGAAAAAAGAAAUUUUUCCUUCCUUCUUCCUCCCGUGCGUCCUCCAUCCCUUUCUCCUUCCCGUACCCUAGCAGCCGCACAUCCCUCUCUUCUCCGUUCACCCAGUCGGCCACACAAGCUGCCGGUCGUUUCUUCUUCUUCUUUCCGGUCGUCUUCCUUUUCUCCUUCGGAUCGAAACCGCCGCGCCCAUCCGCUCACAACCGCCGUGCCUCUCCGCUCACAACCGUCGUGCCUCCCUCGGAAAGCAAAUCGUCAUCCAGAUCUGCAUCGCCGAGCCGUCCAGGUCCUCGCCGUCGCUUGUGCUUCACCCUUGCAGUUCGCCAUAACCCAGAUCCGUCGCUGCAACCGUCGGUCGGUUCGUGAAGUGCCGUACGCGUCACCUUGCAGCAGUCGUCCAGAUCUGCAUCGCCGUGCCCAUUCCUUUCCUCUCCGUUCGUGAAGCCCUGCUGCGCAAUCUCUGUCUCCGUCGAAGCCAAGCCCAGCCGCCGCCCGUUCCUUUCUCCUCUGUUUUCUGCACUGUCGCGUGACUCUCCGACCGCGGCUGUCUUCACCUCCGUGAAGCCGUCGACGCAUACAUCUCGUGAAGUCAUACACGGAUCCAAGUCGAUCUCUUCCUAAAUUACGUGUCCCCUAUCAAGUCGACGUUCUUCUGCUCGUUGUAAGACGGAGUUACGAUUUGAAGCCGAUUUUCUUUUCCAGUUGAGUCGCAUUCAGUGUUGCUCUAUUUACAGCCGCUUGAUUCGUUCUUGAUUGUCAUUUUUGCCUCGCCGUGAACCAUUGGGCUCAUAUUUGGGUACAUCUUGAUUCAGUGAGCGAAUCCUUGAUUUUCCAAAAGGUUGAAGUGGACUUGAUUUUCCACUUCUUGGGAUUUGAUUCAUUGGAUUUAGUAGAUUGAAGAACUUGCAUAAAAGUGAGGCAAAGGUAAUAAAGGCGGCAAACCGGCGAGGGGCAGGAAGGAAGUGUGAUUGCCAUAGGAAAUGUGUUAUUUUGCUUCCGCUUAUUGUUUUUUUUAGGUUUAAGACGUUGUAUUGAAACUUAGCUUACAAACUUUUAUUUGUAAAUAGUACUUUUUUUAAGUUUUUGGAAUAUUUGAAAAUCAGGCCUGACUUAAA